rnacentral:rRNA from 1 species
AUUGAACGCUGGCGGCAUGCCUUACACAUGCAAGUCGAACGGCAGCACGGGUGCUUGCACCUGGUGGCGAGUGGCGAACGGGUGAGUAAUACAUCGGAACGUACAUUAUCGUGGGGGAUAACGCCGCGAAAGCUGUGCUAUUACCGCAUACGCCCUGAGGGGGAACGCGGGGCAUCGCAAGACCUCGCGCGAUUAGAGCGGCCGAUGCCUGAUUAGCUGGUUGGUGGGGUAAAAGCCCACCAAGGCGACGAUCAGUAGCUGGUCUGCGAGGACGAUCAGCCACACUGGGACUGAGACACGGCCCAGACUCCUACGGGAGGCAGCAGUGGGGAAUUUUGGACAAUGGGGGCAACCCUGAUCCAGCAAUGCCGCGUGAGUGAAGAAGGCCUUCGGGUUGUAAAGCUCUUUUGUCAGGGAAGAAACACCGGCUCUAACACAGUCUGGGAAUGACGGUACCUGAAGAAUAAGCACCGGCUAACUACGUGCCAGCCGCCGCCGUAA